rnacentral:rRNA from 1 species
CACGUAGGGGGCAAGCGUUGUCCGGAUUUAUUGGGCGUAAAGAGCUCGUAGGUGGUUCGGUAAGUCGGGUGUUAAACCCCCAGGCUCAACCUGGGGACGCCACUCGAUACUGCUGUGACUAGAGUCCGGUAGGGGAGCGUGGAAUUCCUAGUGUAGCGGUGAAAUGCGCAGAUAUCAGGAGGAACACCAGCGGCGAAGGCGGCGCUCUGGGCCGGUACUGACACUGAGGAGCGAAAGCGUGGGGAGCAAACAGG